rnacentral:rRNA from 1 species
AUUGAACGCUGGCGGCAUGCUUUACACAUGCAAGUCGAACGGUAACAGGUUAAGCUGACGAGUGGCGAACGGGUGAGUAAUGCAUCGGAACGUGCCCGGUCGUGGGGGAUAACGCAGCGAAAGUUGCGCUAAUACCGCAUACGAUCUGAGGAUGAAAGCGGGGGACCGUAAGGCCUCGCGCGAUCGGAGCGGCCGAUGUCAGAUUAGGUAGUCGGUGGGGUAAAGGCUCACCAAGCCAACGAUCUGUAGCUGGUCUGAGAGGACGAGCAGCCACACUGGGACUGAGACACGGCCCAGACUCCUACGGGAGGCAGCAGUGGGGAAUUUUGGACAAUGGGCGAAAGCCUGAUCCAGCAAUGCCGCGUGCAGGAAGAAGGCCUUCGGGUUGUAAACUGCUUUUGUACGGAGCGAAAAGGUCUCCUCUAAUACAGGGGGCUCAUGACGGUACCGUAAGAAUAAGCACCGGCUAACUACGUGCCAGCAGCCGCAGUAA